GAUGAACGCUAGCUACAGGCUUAACACAUGCAAGUCGAGGGGCAGCAUGAACAUAGCUUGCUAUGUUUGAUGGCGACCGGCGCACGGGUGCGUAACACGUAUCCAAUCUGCCCGUCACUCGGGGAUAGCCUUCUGAAAGGAAGAUUAAUACCCGAUGGCAUGCAUUUCCGGCAUCGGAGAUGCAUUAAAGAUUUAUCGGUGACGGAUGAGGAUGCGUACGAUUAGCUGGUUGGCGGGGUAACGGCCCACCAAGGCUACGAUCGUUAGGGGUUCUGAGAGGAAGGUCCCCCACACUGGAACUGAGACACGGUCCAGACUCCUACGGGAGGCAGCAGUGAGGAAUAUUGGUCAAUGGUCGAGAGACUGAACCAGCCAAGUAGCGUGAAGGAUGACUGCCCUACGGGUUGUAAACUUCUUUGUUUGGGAAUAAAAGACGCUACGUGUAGCGUUGUGCAUGUACCUUACGAAUAAGCAUCGGCUAAUUCCGUG
rnacentral:rRNA from 1 species